AAAAAAAGACAAAACCUGUACGCUUACGUCCCUGCCGGAGGCGGCGGCGACGACGAGGCCUGGCUGGUGGCGGCCGGGGAGCGAUGAGGCGGCGAUCUGGGCCGGCGUCGGCGGUGGUUUGGUUUCGUCGGCGGCCGCGUUGGUGUUGGACGCCCAAGACAGGGCCAGCCUCAUCCGUUGGUCGCAUUACGGGAUCCGCUUCCGGGAACGGAGUUACGGAGGUAAGGGCUCGCUGACCCCUCGCCCCCGGCGCUUGCAUUUUCAACGGUUAGGUUUCUCUUCAAAGCUUGAUAUGCGUGCUUGUGUUCCUCUGCUGGAAUUAGAUCGAUUGGUAACAGCAUUUACCUUUCCCUAUGCCAAUAGUAACUGACUGCUCAAUUUCUUUGUGCAACUGCUGUGGCCUAUACUGGUGAUAGUGUAGUGUGUGUCUUUUAGCUAGGAAACGCAAUGGAGGUUGCUGGCCUACAAGUCUUCUUCCUCAAAAUGAAAAGGGAAACUGGGCGUUCCUCAAUUUUGUUGGUACUAGUCCUGGUAGCAUAUGGGUCAUUCACCAUCAUGUGUCAUGUCGAACGUCCAGAGAGUGAAUUCGUCAGAAGUUAACAUUUCAACACUGCCGGCUGGCCAGGAAAUUGUUUAUUGAAAAUUGGGUGGUGGGAGUGGUUAAUUAGUUCUAGCAUGACUUGUAAAUUGUCUACUCCGUAUAUUAUUCUUGUCAUUUCGGCGGAGUGGUUAUGCCAUCAGCUGUCUCACUAUAAUUAAUGGUUAGAUGAUGCUUGGGUUAAUUAUAUCCAAUUCAAUCAAAUUCUUAAUCGCAAGCCCCUCCAAAUUAACAUGUCCACACCCGGCAUGCAGGUCAAUAUUUUUCUUCUAAAUUCUAACGUGCGUCUCAGGUGGGACCUCCAAUCAUAAAGCCACCCUCCGCUACUUGGUUUCAGAUUAACAUGUCUCCUUGUUGUUGCACGUCGCACACGCAGAGAAGGCCGCCAGCCACAGGCCUUUGCAGGAAUGAAGAUCAUGGCUGGAUUUUACUUGAAACCUGCUUUGAUGCCAUUGCUGCCUCUGCCUGUUAUACUUUUCUAUUCUGCGCUUGUUAAUCAAUUUAAGCAAGUUAAACAGUGCAGGUCCAACUGGAAAGCUGCAGUGUUUGCAUAUAUUUCAACUGCGUGUACGGGUGAUCACUGUUGGCUUGUUGCUUGUGGUUAUGCAAAAAUGCAAAGGCAGGCACCCGCCUGCAUAAUUAACCUGGACAUGGAUGAAGGGUGGUGGUGGUGGUGCGGUCGCCGAUGAAGGGCGGGAUCAGCGUUGAGGCCGUCAUCAACGUCAUCAGGCGGUGCCAUGGUGGAUGCUGCAAAGUUUCCGGAAUGAUGAAAAUCAUCAAGACCAUCGCAGAAGCAGCAGGGGACUGGUUCUUUGACAGGAGAGAGGUGAAGGAGCUAGAUUGUGAAUAUCCCUGCAACUCGACGUGCCACAACCUGGUUUUUGAUAAGCCAUUCAAGGGAUGAAGUUUCUUUUUAUUUUUAUCCUUUUGUCGUGGCGUUGUAAAUUUAGCAAAUUGUGUAUAGAAAUUUAUAAACUAGACGCCAAAAGCUUAGUUGAAGUGAGGGAGACUGCGUCCGCAAGUACCCCGGCUAGUUCUGAAACUUCAGGUACUACUAGUUUUGUGGUCUCUGAAGAAACACAAGAAUUCAGUAGCCUAGAUGAAUUGAGUCUCCUGCGUUGCAUUUGCGGCGGUGUCGAACCACGCAUAUGGAAUUUGGAUGUAUACAAACAUGUAUGAAUGGAUUCUAAGUUUUGUAAACGUGAAUGCGAUAUGAAAGAAUCCCUCGAUGCCA